CUCCUCCCACCGCCUUUCCAUCCGACGUCGGCAAGCUGGUUGCGGCGGGCCCGCUUUUGCUGGCCUACAGCGGCGAAUCGGCCACCCGAUCUGGGCGUCGAUGAUGCCGCUGCCUCUGCUCCCCUCUUCCUGGUGCAGGGCGAAGACGCAAUGGUGGUGGCGAACGUGCGGUUUAUGGGACUCGCGGCGGUGCCCUUCUCCGUGGCCUCGCCCUCCUGCGCGGACGCAUCCUCUGCUCUGCGCCACCCGGACAGCCAGUUCUGCAGCUCGUCAGCGCGCUCUAACGCGUGCUCAGCAACUUCCGUGUACGCCUCCCGACCUCCACGACGCGCUCCACGGCUUCGCAGGGCGUGACGGAGCCUCUGCUCGCAUCCUCAUUCGACGUCGUGCUCUGGGGCAAGGGGCUCCCGGAGUCCGUGCUCGCCGCCGCUGGUAAGACAGUCCUCCAUGUCUAUCCCAGUCUGUUCUACGGCUCCCUCUAUUCCUCCAUCCUGCUCUCCUCCUUCCUGUCCUUCCUCUCCCUGACCCUUCUCCGUCUUCAUUGACCGCGGUGGCGGCGGCGGCGGUCGGCUCCUAUUCGUACACCGUCGUCGAUCUACACCGCCGCGGCGUGUACUCGGAUUUCGCGACCUUGCCGACCAGCCCCUUAUGCUGCCCCCUUGGACUCUGAUCAGCAUCCCAUUCACGGAUAGGAAUUUGGAAGGGGAAGAGAGGAUAGAUAUAUGUCCAUUUAACUUCACAGUGCUCAGUGAAAUUAUUAUGGAGUGACUAAGACUACAAUACAAGCAAGCUCACCAAUGACCAAACUGCGAAGGCAUUCUAAUUAAUCUGAGCAAGAUCUCACUGUUGGAUCUGCGGAAAAAAAACACAGUUUCUCCUCUAAUAAAGGGUGUGCCUGGACAAGUCAACAAGAAUAACCAAGCAGCUUAAGGUAUUCUAAGAGGUAAGGGUCAUCUUGGCCUGUCCCUUUCCUUUAGGAGGUCCCUGUACUACUGCACUAAACAAAGAUUGGAUAUGGUUGCCCUUUUCAAUUUAGAAAUCAAUGUACGGUUCGUUCUUCACUGGAUUCAUACAACUGCAUCGGCCCAUGCUUGAAGAUCUAACUUCAUUUGAUUGCUGUGCAUUUUCUCUGUUAGUACUCCACCUCUAUUAUGCUUCCUCAUAUACUCUUGUGUCUCUAUUGAUCUAAUGAAAGGCUGCAGAUUCAUGUAUUGGUUGAUUCGCCUUUCAUGGGAAAGUUUAACUUUUGGUAUAUAUUGCCAUGUCUAAACUUUAUUGGUCUGUUUUUUUUAUUAUGCAUGUUCUGCCAUGUAAAAGCAAAUUUGAUUUGUUUACAGCUUUACUGCGAUUGGACUAUGAGGCUUCUUAUGGUUGGCUGGCUUUUGUUCUGCAUAUUGAUAGCAUCAUAUUUACAUGACUAGCUAUUGAGAAUAACUCUUGCAGGCCAUUGAAAUCAGAUUUCCUUAUCAGUUUGAUGGGGUGUCAUCGGGUCCAGAUGAUUUAGUAAUUGUCAUAGCGAUUUGCUCCUGCUGCAUCCACAUUUAAUAGCGCGCUCUAUAUAACUGAUCAGCAGAAAGGUAUGAUCCAAGGGAAGGUUUCUGGGCGCUGCUUCCAAGUAUGAGCGUGAGAAGAGGAUCCCACUGACCCACUCGGUAGCUGUCUUGGGGGAUGCCCCGUAUGAUGUGGGAGGGUAUGAUGGAAGCAACAUGAUAUCUAACGUAGAGAUUUUUGACCUGUGCACUAAUUCAUGGAGAAUAUGCAGCCCAUUACAGGUUACAAUGGACGAUAAUUUGUUCUACAUUGGCGGGCACAGAUACAUCCAGCCAGCGACUGCAUUUCAACCGUCCCUGAUCCAAGUAUGAACACAGGGAAAACUAUUCUCAUGCCGGCAUUUUCCAAACUACUUAAUGCAGCUAUGUAACAUGGCCAGUUCCACCUAAAUACAAUGUCUGUUAAGUUAGUGAACCCUCCUAUUCUCCUACAGCUCCUUAGCUAUCCCAAUUGGAGAUUUAAAUUGUAAUAUAACAACUGCUCCUGUCAAAUACUUCUAUAUGUAUCAUCUGCAGUAGUUUAUCCAUAAACUAUUUAUCACUCUGUUGCUCUUUAGUACAAAUAUAUGUAUUUCCUUUA